rnacentral:rRNA from 1 species
AGACAGAGGGUGCAAACGUUGCUCGGAAUUACUGGGCGUAAAGCGCGGGUAGGCGGCCUUGUAAGUCGGAUGUGAAAGCCCACCGCUCAACGGUGGAACGGCAUUCGAUACUGCUCGGCUUGGAGUGCAGGAGAGGAGGGCGGAAUUUCCGGUGUAGCGGUGAAAUGCGUAGAGAUCGGAAGGAACACCGGUGGCGAAGGCGGCUCUCUGGACUGCAACUGACGCUGAGACGCGAAAGCGUGGGGAGCAAACAGGAUUAGAUACCCCGGUAGUCC